rnacentral:rRNA from 1 species
GAUGAACGCUGGCGGCGUGCCUAAUACAUGCAAGUCGAGCGAACAGACGAGGAGCUUGCUCCUCUGACGUUAGCGGCGGACGGGUGAGUAACACGUGGAUAACCUACCUAUAAGACUGGGAUAACUUCGGGAAACCGGAGCUAAUACCGGAUAAUAUAUUGAACCGCAUGGUUCAAUAGUGAAAGACGGUUUUGCUGUCACUUAUAGAGGGAUCCGCGCCGCAUUAGCUAGUUGGUAAGGUAACGGCUUACCAAGGCAACGAUGCGUAGCCGACCUGAGAGGGUGAUCGGCCACACUGGAACUGAGACACGGUCCAGACUCCUACGGGAGGCAGCAGUAGGGAAUCUUCCGCAAUGGGCGAAAGCGUGACGGAGCAAAGCCGCGGGAGUGAUGAAGGUGUUCGGAUCGUAAAACGCUGUUAUUAGGGAAGAACAAAUGUGUAAGUACCUAUGCACGUCUUGACGGUACCUAAUCAGAAAGCCACGGCUAACUACGUG